CUCGCCUGCACUCCAUCUCAGCUUAUUUUUAUAUUUUUAACUAGCAUUUAUUGCUGACAUUUAUUAACCUACACUACAGACUACGGCACAUAUUCGUACAGCGUCGCGCCUCCCGCGCGUGUGCGACAUACAAAUCGUUUAAAUAUUCAUAAUAUAAUUUUCAACGGGUGGGCUAGUGGUGCGCAUGUGUUCCAUGCUGUUGGCUGGGCGACGUGGUUUGAUAAGGAGCUGUGAUAUAAAGUGCUUGGCUGAAAGCGUUU